rnacentral:rRNA from 1 species
GGGGAAGAGACUUGCUCAAUGGGUGACGAGCGGCGGACGGGUGAGUAAUGUCUGGGAAACUGCCUGAUGGAGGGGGAUAACUACUGGAAACGGUAGCUAAUACCGCAUAACGUCGCAAGACCAAAGAGGGGGACCUUCGGGCCUCUUGCCAUCAGAUGUGCCCAGAUGGGAUUAGCUAGUAGGUGGGGUAAUGGCUCACCUAGGCGACGAUCCCUAGCUGGUCUGAGAGGAUGACCAGCCACACUGGAACUGAGACACGGUCCAGACUCCUACGGGAGGCAGCAGUGGGGAAUAUUGCACAAUGGGCGCAAGCCUGAUGCAGCCAUGCCGCGUGUGUGAAGAAGGCCUUCGUGUUGUAAAGCUCUUUCAGCGAGGAAGAAGGUGGUGAUCUUACCAUGCUGUUUUUUGUUUCCGAGCACAUAAGAACCAACUAUAACUGCGUGCCAGCACCGAUGAUAUAUAGGGUGCAAAACUUAAACUCAUUUUCUGUGCGUAAAUCGCGCAUAAUGGAGCUUUAAUUGGAUAUGUAAUCCCCCGCUCCCCUGGGAACUGCAUCCUAAACUUGCUAUCUAGAAGACAGUAUAAGGUGGGGGAAUUUCCUGUGGAUCGCCGAAUGCGUACAUAUAAGAAUGACCACCCGUGGCCUAGCGACCACCUUGGACU